GUCGGGUUGGGAAUGAACCGGUUGACCCGGUCACCGAUGAUCGCCUGGGUGUGCUUGCCGUCGCUGAACAUCUGGACGCCACGCCUGCGGAACUUCUU
rnacentral:sRNA from 1 species